ACCCGUCUAGCUCCAGUUGGUAGAGCGCUGGCCUUUUAAGCCAGUGGUCGUGGGUUCGAGCCCCACGGGGGGUG
rnacentral:tRNA from 2 species